AACCUUGGCCGGGAAUCGAACCCGGGCCGCCGGCGUUGCAGGCGAGCAUUCUACCACUGAACCACCGAUGGU
rnacentral:tRNA from 1 species